UUCAGUCUGAGACCAAGCUGGCAGGGGUACGUGUCAAUUGCUUUGAUACGUGUCUUGCGUGAAAUCAGUUUUUAUAAACUGAUUUACUUUCUUUUCUUUUACAAUCUCUCACCGCCUCUUCUCUCUCCUAAAAUCUCUCCACCGUCUCUCUCUUUCUCUCUAAUCUCUCUCUGCACACCCAUCUCCCCCAAAUCUCUCGCUCUCUCCUGCUCCCUCGCACUCUCCUUGCCCUCUCUCUCUCCCGGGUGUCGCUGCAGUGUUCUUAGCCACCGCUGCUCUGUUUUCCGGCCGCCCAUCGCCGCUCGUGCUCCGAUUCCGGCACCACCAGCUCGUCCCCUCUCUUUUCCCCUCAUUCCCCUGCCUCCCUUUGCUUUGCUGCUGUGCCUGUGCAUCUGUAUGUGUGUAUUUCGAGUGUGUGUAUUAGUGUGUGCCACGAGGCUAUGGGUGUGCGCGAUUAUGUGGUCUGGUGUGGGUGUGUGUGUGUAUAUUCUGGUGUCCGUGUGCGGAAUCAGUGUGUGGGUGCUCAGUAUGCGUGCGUGUGUGCAGGUGGGUAUAUGUAUUCGUGUGUGGGCCCGAGUUGGCCGAGUUUUGACUACCUGGCUGUGUAGAUUAUUCGAGUGGCUCGAGUCCUGAAUUGAUUUUCUUAUACGUGUUUAUUUAUUAUUUCAUUUGCUGGUUCGUUUGACUGAUUAUCGAGGUUAGUUAGUAUUUAUAAAUUAAGUAUUUCGAUUAUUUCAGAGAUUGAUUACAGGUUUGUUGGGAUUGUUGUGUCGAUAUGAUAUCGACUGGUAGUCCGAUAAAUAGAGGAGGUGCUGCCCAAUUUUAAAUAAAAUUUAGAUUUUAAAAUUAUACGGGAGCGUAUCCUAUAAUUAUCAGGCUAUUAAUCGAAUNCAGGGGCGGAUCUAGGAAGAGGCACGCGGGGACACGUGUCCCCCCUAAAUCUUUUUUUUACAUUUUUUCACCAUUCUAAAUUUUACAAAAUUAUAAAAGUGCCCCCAAAAAAUUUAAAGGUGUAUAGGUGUUUUCCGAAAAUUUGCUUCGUGCCCCUCUAACAUUCGUGGGCUAGAUCCGCCCCUGACCAGUAGCCAAUUCAUCCUUUAAACCCUUACCAUUUCUUGUUAUUUCUUGCAAAGCCUUUGAAAAUGAGUUCAAAAUCUAGCCUUCCACUAGUUCUUUUUCUGUUUCUCAACCUUCUCUUUACAGGACUAGCUGUCAGUAGUUCUGAUUGCGACAGUCCUCCAAAACAUUCAUCAAAACAUAAACAUAAGCAUCAUGAUCACAACUCAAACUCCCCUCCUAUGUCAAAUUCAAAUCCUCCUAAGCUACCUCCCCGCUUUCCACUUCCUUCAAGUCCACAGUCCGCGCUUAACUCUCCAGAACUACCUCCAGUAAGUCCUCCGCUUGCAUUCCCCAACUCACGAAAAUCAGGCACAUGCCCCAGAAAUGCAAUUAGAUUUGGGGCAUGCACUAAGGUUCUUGGUGGUCUACUAGGCGUCAGAGCUGGAACUGCACCAAAAAAGCCAUGUUGUAGACUAUUUGGAGGACUUGUGGAGGUAGAGUCAGCUGUUUGUCUAUGCACUGCGAUUAAAGCUAAUGUUCUGGGAUCUAAUCUUAACAUUCCUAUAUCACUCGGCUUGCUUCUUAACGUUUGUGACAUUCAAACUCCGCCAGGCUUCCAGUGUUCCUAAAGGAUUUGUCUACUGUUUCUUGUUUUCCAGAAUUNNNNNNNNNNNNNNNNNNNNNNNNNNNNNNNNNNNNNNNNNNNNNNNNNNNNNNNNNNNNNNNNNNNNNNNNNNNNNNNNNNNNNNNNNNNNNNNNNNNNNNNNNNNNNNNNNNNNNNNNNNNNNNNNNNNNNNNNNNNNNNNNNNNNNNNNNNNNNNNNNNNNNNNNNNNNNNNNNNNNNNNNNNNNNNNNNNNNNNNNNNNNNNNNNNNNNNNNNNNNNNNNNNNNNNNNNNNNNNNNNNNNNNNNNNNNNNNNNNNNNNNNNNNNNNNNNNNNNNNNNNNNNNNNNNNNNNNNNNUAGUAUUGGUAGAUUGUUGGUAUUAGUUUGAAGCAGGCGGAUAGUCCAAUAAAUAGAGGAUAUGCUGCCGAAAUUUCUUUAGAAAUUAAGUGUAUUAUGUCUAUAAAUAGAUAUUUGAUAGUUAGUAGCAUUAUAUUAUAUUUGUAUGGAAUAUGUAUGUUUAUUGAUUAUGUGGUUAUUUGUUUGACUGAUCCAGUGUAUAUAUAUUAUUAUGUGGAUAUCUAUAUAUUUUUUUGUUUACUAUAUAUGGAUAUGCGAAGGGUAGUUAGUUGCAGAUUCUAAUAGCAUUUAGUAAUUAGUUUCGUUUGAUCCGACGAUUGAAGUAUUGUCUUACUGUCGUACAGAGUCGACUGGGAUGUUCAGAAAUAGUGAAUAGUAUCGUGGAGCGAGGCUGACAUAAACCAAUGAAGUGAAGCUGUGCUAUGGAUACUCUUUUAAGUCUGUCAUAGACUAAGCAGAAGGGAAUAGUUCAGCAGAUAGUACUAUUAGAAAUCUGAGUUAGACACUGGAGUUAAGGCAAGUAUUUCUAUUCUUCUCUUAUUUAUUAAGAGCAAGUGAUUUAUUCCACAACUUUUAAUUAUUGCCAAUGCAAUUAUUAUAUUCUGUAUUUCAAUUCAUAGAAUAUCAUAUGCUUGGGAUUUAAUUGUUGUUCAAUAUUCCAUACACCAUACAGAUACUCAAAUAAUGAUUGAAUUCAAUACAUUCCAAUGAUUGAAUUCACUACAUUCUAGUAAUCAUUCUACUAGAAUUCUCGAAUUACUUCUAAGAUAGAUAGUGGAAAACUAUGCUAUCCAGAUAUACUCCAAACAGUACCGAGUUAAAGUUCAUAAUUAGCAAAUAACUAACUAUUCUAGUUAUGUUGCCAUCAGUUGAUAUGAUUACUCCGGACCAUGUGAAAUGGCGAGUUUGUUGAUCGAGAGAGUUGAGUGAUUCAACUCCCUAAGAAAAAUAAAACAUUUUUGCGUAAGAGGCCGGGACGGCGGUCCAGUGAAGGGCUAUUUGGGUAUUAUUGAAAUAUGAUAAUACUUUUCUGCCAAAGGCCAAUGUGUUGCCUUAUAUUUGGUACCUGUGAAUUAGGACAUGCUUCUACGAAGUGUGAUCCCGUACUAUUACACGUGCUGAUCAGCUGUGAUAGUACACCCGUCAGUGGAAGUUUCAAUCAAAAUUUAUGAUUUGAUUACUUAAGCUAAUAUUGCUUUUGUUUUCCAUUGGAUACUACUGUUUCUUAUCUCUUUACUUCCAGAAGGAUAGCACUUAUUAAUGCUUUACAUUUAAGUAUUUUAUAUAUAUAUUGUUGAGCCUUCUAGUUGCUCAUUCUUCCUUGUUGUUGCUGUGCUAAUCUUUGAGUUACAACUGUUAUGAUUUACUUCAAAAGUCUGCUUUAUUUCAAAUACUCUGAUUUCAUUCAAAAGAAAUUAUAUCUUGUGGCUCUUGCCUUUCUUAUUAUCUUGUUGAGCAUUUUCGCUCACUCUUGCUAUUAUUUCUAACCCUUUCAGCUAGGGAUUGAGAUGUCACCUGUAUAAGCUGCGCGUAAGAUUGAUGCUAGGCGAGAUUGCCAGGGAGAUGUUUACAAGAGUAGUUCUAGUUAGAAUUGUUCUAUUUCAGUUCAGUUGUAAAUAGACUUAUUUAUUUGGUUAUCAGUUACUCUUCUUAUCGAGGUUUAACUGAUAAUGUAGUUUAAGUUGUAAUAAGAUUUUAAGUUUUGGUUUCUGAUUUCAGUACUGUAACCUAUUAGCGAUCCUGUUUUUAGGGGGGUCAAAGUGAUUUUGAUUUAAAUCUCUUUUAAAAUUUCCAGAUUUUGAAAUAUCUGUUUUACCUUCUUCCGCAAAUAUAGGUUUUUAAAUGAUUUUGUUUUAGUGGCACCAAAUCCAGACCCCCGGAUUUGAGGGCUGUCACAGUUGGUAUCAGAGCCAGGUUAUAAGUUAUUGAAAUCAGAAUGUAGGUUGUAUUAGGAUUGUGUUUAGUGGGACCUCAACUAGAGAUAAGUCGAGACUAUUUGGUAUAGUCUUUGUUGAUAGAAUUGAGGUAGAUAAUGGAGCAUUGAUUUCAAGUAAUCAUUUGGGAUAUCCUAGUUUCUAAUUCGAGAACUAGUGAGUUGGAUUUCAGGGACAUGAUGGAACCUUUAGUUUUCAAUCUUUUUGAACUUGAGUUUGACUUUUUGAGUAACCAGAGGCAGCUAGACUUGUGUAUUGACCUAUCUAGUCUUGAGUGUUCCUUGUCAUCUCUACCACUUUUUGAGUAUUUGUUCGAGGGUCAUCUAUUCUUAUGAAGUCAUAUAGAAGGAAUAUGAGAUUUGAUGGAUCAUUGCGAGAAGCCAGGUGUAUAGUUCUUGAUAUGAGAAUUAUAUAGGAGUGGUAGGCUACUCGAGAUAGUAUUAUGAGUAGGUUAGAAUGCCAACGCUCUACACUGCUGAUUGUCAAAGCUGGAUACGACUUCUGUCAGUACCAAGCUCGACAGGACUUCUACCUAACGUGGAUAUUGGUGACGGGAUCUACGAAGGAGAAUACAAGUUAACAAUAAUAUUCAUCAUAGAAUCGAAACGAAUCGUCAGAAGAAUCGAUAGCGAAGACAUAUGUGAUAGCCUUGGCAAUACCAUCCUCAUUAUUGAUUCUAUUGAUCAUUUUCACAGUCAGUGAAUUGUUUUAAUAUCUCUUCUAUUGAAACAUUCAUGAAGUCCUUUUUGUCAAAAAUUUGUAUCUUUGGAAGCUAUUCGAUUUCAACUCUUAAGGUUCGUAUUAAAGAUUCAUUUCUCAAAAAUCAAUCAUUGUUGGUUGAUUUUGAAAUUUUCAUAUUUUCCAUUCUAACUGAGGUGAACAACCCUACUAUAGGGGACACAAGGACUAUCUGUCUGUGUGAUAGAGGUUUGAUGGGACGCCAUCACUUGUGUGUGUUGUGAUUACAAGAAGGAUAACAACCUUUAGUAGUGUCUAUAUGGGCACGCAACACUAAGUUCGUUGGAUCAUAUUUGAUCUCUCAGUCACUUGUUUAUUCAGAUGAAACCUAUUUUGAAAACAUUUUUGUCCUAUAGCCAAAUUCUCAAAGAUUUAUUCCGGAAAGUCAAUUCUGCAUUUGCGAAAAUUUUAAGAUUCCGAUUCCUUUAAAGUUGAGGUAUGCCAAGGAUUAAUCAAUAGUGGAUGGCGGUAUGGUAUUGCGUCGCGUGUAUGUUUUAGUUCUCUUCGCGGAUUCUGAGGACAGAAUCUUUAUAAGGGGGGUAGAAUGUAAUAUCCCAGAUUUUUAAUUCAGAUUUGAUUAUUAUAGAUCCAAUUUUUUUUUUUUUUUUUUUAAAUGUUAUGGUUGUCCUUAAUUGAAUAUUGUGUGAUGGUCUAUAUUUGUUUUGUGGAUUAGUAGAUUACGCGUCCUCCUUCUUUCUUUGAUUCCGAGGACGGAAUCCGUUUAAGGAGGGUAGAUUGUAAUGACCCGGAUUUUUAAAAUCUAUUUAUUAUUAUGAAAGUGAUUUUGUUCAAGAAAGGGAAUGAGAUUUGAUAUUUUAUUCCAUUUUAAUUAAAUCAAAAUGUUAUAUUUAAACUCCGGGUUAUUGUGUUAUUGGUAUAUAACUGUUUCUUCAAAAAUGAGUUUCAUAUAUUAUUUUGAAAAAUUCUAAAUGAUUAUUAUGUGAAUAUGAAGUCCUUUUUGUCAAAAAUUUGUAUCUUUGGAAGCUAUUCGAUUUCAACUCUUAAGGUUCGUAUUAAAGAUUCAUUUCUCAAAAAUCAAUCAUUGUUGGUUGAUUUUGAAAUUUUCAUAUUUUCCAUUCUAACUGAGGUGAACAACCCUACUAUAGGGGACACAAGGACUAUCUGUCUGUGUGAUAGAGGUUUGAUGGGACGCCAUCACUUGUGUGUGUUGUGAUUACAAGAAGGAUAACAACCUUUAGUAGUGUCUAUAUGGGCACGCAACACUAAGUUCGUUGGAUCAUAUUUGAUCUCUCAGUCACUUGUUUAUUCAGAUGAAACCUAUUUUGAAAACAUUUUUGUCCUAUAGCCAAAUUCUCAAAGAUUUAUUCCGGAAAGUCAAUUCUGCAUUUGCGAAAAUUUUAAGAUUCCGAUUCCUUUAAAGUUGAGGUAUGCCAAGGAUUAAUCAAUAGUGGAUGGCGGUAUGGUAUUGCGUCGCGUGUAUGUUUUAGUUCUCUUCGCGGAUUCUGAGGACAGAAUCUUUAUAAGGGGGGUAGAAUGUAAUAUCCCAGAUUUUUAAUUCAGAUUUGAUUAUUAUAGAUCCCAUUUUUUUUUUUUUUUUUUUAAAUGUUAUGGUUGUCCUUAAUUGAAUAUUGUGUGAUGGUCUAUAUUUGUUUUGUGGAUUAGUAGAUUACGCGUCCUCCUUCUUUCUUUGAUUCCGAGGACGGAAUCCGUUUAAGGAGGGUAGAUUGUAAUGACCCGGAUUUUUAAAAUCUAUUUAUUAUUAUGAAAGUGAUUUUGUUCAAGAAAGGGAAUGAGAUUUGAUAUUUUAUUCCAUUUUAAUUAAAUCAAAAUGUUAUAUUUAAACUCCGGGUUAUUGUGUUAUUGGUAUAUAACUGUUUCUUCAAAAAUGAGUUUCAUAUAUUAUUUUGAAAAAUUCUAAAUGAUUAUUAUGUGAAUAUAUGUGUUAUGUGAUUAAGUGAUACUGGUGGAAUUGUUCGAUAAUUAAUUAUAGUUAAUUAUGAAUAUUGUGUGAUUAUAUUCUUGAGAUUCGGUGUAUUUUAUUUCUAUUGGAUUGUUGAGUUGUGUUAUCAAUUCCCAUUUGUUAUGGGUUUUAUACUGAUUGAAUUAUAUAAAAUGGUGUAUUGCAUAUAAAAUCAUUUUUUAUCACUUUAUAAUUUCAUUAAAUAUUUUUAGAGAUUUAUAAAAUUCAUAAAAUGAUAUUUCGAUAAUUAUUCAGUUCUAAAUGAUUUUCAGUGUAGUUUCAAGUGGGGUGUUUCUGUUAAUUUCAAAAAUGAUCCAAAAAUCGUGGAAAUCAUAUUUUAUUAGUUUUUAAUUAUGUUGAGAUUUUAAAAAUUAUUUUGGUAUUUAUCUGGAUCAUUUUUAUCUGUGAUUUUGUUCGCUAAUCUGUCAAAUUCAGUCUGAGACCAAGCUGGCAGGGGUACGUGUCAAUUGCUUUGAUACGUGUCUUGCGUGAAAUCAGUUUUUAUAAACUGAUUUACUUUCUUUUCUUUUACAAUCUCUCACCGCCUCUUCUCUCUCCUAAAAUCUCUCCACCGUCUCUCUCUUUCUCUCUAAUCUCUCUCUGCACACCCAUCUCCCCCAAAUCUCUCGCUCUCUCCUGCUCCCUCGCACUCUCCUUGCCCUCUCUCUCUCCCGGGUGUCGCUGCAGUGUUCUUAGCCACCGCUGCUCUGUUUUCCGGCCGCCCAUCGCCGCUCGUGCUCCGAUUCCGGCACCACCAGCUCGUCCCCUCUCUUUUCCCCUCAUUCCCCUGCCUCCCUUUGCUUUGCUGCUGUGCCUGUGCAUCUGUAUGUGUGUAUUUCGAGUGUGUGUAUUAGUGUGUGCCACGAGGCUAUGUGUGUGCGCGAUUAUGUGGUCUGGUGUGGGUGUGUGUGUGUAUAUUCUGGUGUCCGUGUGCGGAAUCAGUGUGUGGGUGCUCAGUAUGCGUGCGUGUGUGCAGGUGGGUAUAUGUAUUUGUGUGUGGGCCCGAGUUGGCCGAGUUUUGACUACCUGGCUGUGUAGAUUAUUCGAGUGGCUCGAGUCCUGAAUUGAUUUUCUUAUACGUGUUUAUUUAUUAUUUCAUUUGCUGGUUCGUUUGACUGAUUAUCGAGGUUAGUUAGUAUUUAUAAAUUAAGUAUUUCGAUUAUUUCAGAGAUUGAUUACAGGUUUGUUGGGAUUGUUGUGUCGAUAUGAUAUCGACUGGUAGUCCGAUAAAUAGAGGAGGUGCUGCCCAAUUUUAAAUAAAAUUUAGAUUUUAAAAUUAUACGGGAGCGUAUCCUAUAAUUAUCAGGCUAUUAAUCGAAUUUAUAUAGUUACUGAUUCGUGAUAUUAUUAUUAAAUCUAUAAAUAAUAUUUAUGUGAUUUGGUAGUCAUAGCAUUAUUAUUAAUGUUAAUGUGUGAAACUGUGUUUACUUGGUAAUUUUAGGAUGUCGAAUAUUAAUAAAUAUUAGUAUUAUUCUUUAUUAUUAUUAUUGCUUGCACUAGUAGUAAUAAUAGUAAAUGAUAAUAUUAAUAAUAUAAAUAUGCGAUAUCUUAAAUAGUUAUAAUGCUAUGCUUAUUUAAUUCAACUUGUAUAUAUUUGAUUUGAAUAGUAUCUAAAUUGAGUAUUAUGGUAAGUGGUAAGUAAAUGUAUGGAAAUAUGUGAUACGUGCUAAGUGCUACGUGUUAAAUGUUAGAGUGUUAUUCUUGAUAGUAUAAUGUAUUAAUAUUGAAUUACUUUCCAUUUUAAAGAUAAGCUGUUAGUUUCUUUCAAUCAUUAUGUGUUUAGGUGCCGCAUGUCUGGGCGGAUUAUUUAUCAUUAUGUGUUAGGUGCCGCAUGUCGGGGCGGGUACUUUUCUUAUGUGAUUUACUGCAUGUCGAGGCAGAUAUUCUUUAUAUUAGUAUUUUAUUUAGUUUAAAGAGCUUGAUUUAAUUGAUUUGAAAACAGGGGGAUAGUCCUAUUUACGAAUAGGUCAUGCCGAAUUUUCUGUAGAAAUAUUAACUUAAAACGCGUUCUCGUGUUGAAUAAUAUUCAGAGAUGGUUGUAAGUUAUAAAACUAUAACGUGUGCUACUUGUUAUGUGCUAUAUAAUGUGCCAUGUAUAUAUUUGUGUAUAUAUAUAUCACGAAAGGGUAGAAAUAGGAUAGUCGUUUCGGAAGGAUACUAAAGUAGUAUCUGUUUGCUUAUAAUAGGAUCGAGCAUUGAGGGCGUGAUACCAAGCAAGGGCAGAAAAUGUGAGAGUUGUAUAGCGGUUCAGUAGCUACGGAUUGUUCGAGACGAGUAGAACCAGACGUUGGGGAUCAAGACUGAAGUUAGAUAAGAUGUCGUAUCAGGCUGCAGCAACCGCAUGAGCGACAUAGCAAAGAAUCAGGAAUAGUUGAUGGUGAUGUCUUGAGAAAGCAGAAUAAGAUAAGGAUGUUAGCUAAGAGUGUAUAAGCUAAGGACCAAAGGCAAGUAUUCCCAUUCCUCUCUUGUAUAUUUGAAAGUGCAAGUAUCCCUAUCUUCACUUAUUGUUCAAGUGAAAUUUUCUUCAAAUCCUAUUAUGCAAGUAUCUUGAAACCUUCUUUUAGAUAUAUUGCAAGUACUCUGGAACUUCCUUGAUAUAUUGCAAGUACCCCUGACAAUACUCUUGCUGGUUCGAGAUUACUAUAUAUGGAGUAAUGUAGAGCAAGAAUGCAUGUCUUUGUUCAAAUAGAUUCUAAAUAAUUGAAUGUUUUAAGUUACGUAUUCCCCUCGUUUCUAUGGAUUUAAUAUCUUUUAAAUUUAGUUUUAGCUGCCAAAGGCCAAUGUGUUGCCUUAUAUUUGGUACCUGUGAAUUAGGACAUGCUUCUACGAAGUGUGAUCCCGUACUAUUACACGUGCUGAUCAGCUGUGAUAGUACACCCGUCAGUGGAAGUUUCAAUCAAAAUUUAUGAUUUGAUUACUUAAGCUAAUAUUGCUUUUGUUUUCCAUUGGAUACUACUGUUUCUUAUCUCUUUACUUCCAGAAGGAUAGCACUUAUUAAUGCUUUACAUUUAAGUAUUUUAUAUAUAUAUUGUUGAGCCUUCUAGUUGCUCAUUCUUCCUUGUUGUUGCUGUGCUAAUCUUUGAGUUACAACUGUUAUGAUUUACUUCAAAAGUCUGCUUUAUUUCAAAUACUCUGAUUUCAUUCAAAAGAAAUUAUAUCUUGUGGCUCUUGCCUUUCUUAUUAUCUUGUUGAGCAUUUUCGCUCACUCUUGCUAUUAUUUCUAACCCUUUCAGCUAGGGAUUGAGAUGUCACCUGUAUAAGCUGCGCGUAAGAUUGAUGCUAGGCGAGAUUGCCAGGGAGAUGUUUACAAGAGUAGUUCUAGUUAGAAUUGUUCUAUUUCAGUUCAGUUGUAAAUAGACUUAUUUAUUUGGUUAUCAGUUACUCUUCUUAUCGAGGUUUAACUGAUAAUGUAGUUUAAGUUGUAAUAAGAUUUUAAGUUUUGGUUUCUGAUUUCAGUACUGUAACCUAUUAGCGAUCCUGUUUUUAGGGGGGUCAAAGUGAUUUUGAUUUAAAUCUCUUUUAAAAUUUCCAGAUUUUGAAAUAUCUGUUUUACCUUCUUCCGCAAAUAUAGGUUUUUAAAUGAUUUUGUUUUAGUGGCACCAAAUCCAGACCCCCGGAUUUGAGGGCUGUCACACUUCCUCUGUUUUAUUAUUUGAUAAUUUGAACAUAUUAUUCUUUAAAUUUUUGAUUUUUAAUAAAAAUAUAUAAUUAAAAUUUUAAUUCAUAAAAAAAUAAUCAAAAAUAAUACUCCCUCCGUCCCAUUUAAUUCUAUACGUUUCUUUUUAAUUGCUCGACACGCAUUUCAAUGCUUUUAUAAAAUAUAGUUCCGUAACUUAUUUUUGAGAUUUUCUUUUUCUGUAUAAAAGUAUAACAUCCAAACUUUAAUUCAGAAAAAGAAUAUUUUAAAAAUAGAUUGCACAACUACACUUUGCGGGAGCAUUAAAGAAUAUUUUAAAAAUAGAUUGCACAACUACACUUUGCGGGAGCAUUAAAGUCCGUGCCGCGUCCCCGUCCCCCAAUGUAUACUACUCAGGGGGACGGAGGGAGUAAUUUUUAUUAUCUGGUCAACUCAACUACAAUUGUGCCAAAAGUCAAAACGUAAAAUAAAACAAACUGAAGUAUUCCUGUACGAUAAUUUUUUAACAUAUUUUGUUUUUCAUGACGACAGUCACUUUUUGGUUUUUUUAUCAAAAAAUAAUUAUUCACUUUUUAGUUAGUUGGUGAAUUAUUAUUGACUACAAUAUUAUUAAUCCCUCCAUGCCAAAUUAACGACAGUUUUUAGUUAUUUGAUUUUUUCAUGGUCAAUUUGAUUUGACUUAAAAAAAUGUAUAUUAAAUAAUUGAAUAGAAUUAUGAAAAAUAUGUCAUUGAAAAAAUUAUCAAAUCUGCUUGAAAAUAUAUUUUUCAGUUUUAUAAAAUUGUAAAAGAAUAAUUUUUAUUUUUUAUCAAAAUUUGGGACAAAUUUACCUUUGAAAAGUCAAACAGGACAGUUAAUUUAAGAUGGAGGAAGUAAUAAUUAUCAGUGGUGGUAAUUCCUGUAUGCACAAAAUUUUACAUCAAUCAAAAUCCUCCUUUUAAAUUCUGUAUAAGAUUCAUUUCGACCAACAACAAAUUAGAUUUUAACUUUUACAAUAUUAAUUAAAAAAUACAAAUAAAUAUAAAAUCUUGACAAAAAUAUUACUCCCUCCGUCCCAGAAGAUUAUUUAUGUUACUUUUUGACACGCAUUUUGAGGUUCUUAUAAAAUAUUCUUGCAGAUCAAAAGAACGAGUCUCCAACAAACAAUAAU
rnacentral:lncRNA from 1 species